AUGAACGCUGGCGGCGUGUCUAAGGCAUGCAAGUCGAGUGGUGCCCGCAAGGGUAACCACGGCAGACGGGAGCGUAACACGUGAGUAACUCACCCCAAAGUGUGGUAUAACUCCGGGAAACCGGUGAUAAUUCCACAUGUGAUCCUUUGCCGAUGGGCAAAGGCGGAAAGGCCGAAAGGUCGCUUUGGGAGAGGCUCGCGGACUAUCAGCUUGUUGGUGAGGUAAUGGCUCACCAAGGCGAUGACGGUUAGCGGGUGUGAGAGCAUGACCCGCCUCACUGGAACUGAAACACUGUCCAGACUCCUACGGGAGGCUGCAGUCGAGAAUUUUCCUCAAUGGACGAAAGUCUGAAGGAGCGACGCCGCGUGCAGGAAGACGCCCCUUGGGGUGUAAACUGCUUUUCUCUGGGAAAAACUUUGAUGGUACCAGAGGAAUAAGGGACUGCUAACUUCGU
rnacentral:rRNA from 1 species